AGAAGGUGAAAGCUCUGUAAUCGAAACCUUGCAUGCACGGGACUGUAUCCAGAGUACCACGAGACACGUGAAACCUUGUGGGAAGCAGGGGGGACCACCCUCCAAGCCAAAAUACUGAUAUCGACCGAUAGCGCAUAGUACCGUGAGGGAAAGGUGAAAAGAACCCCUGGCGGGGAGUGAAAGAGAACCUGAAACCGUAUGUCUACAAACAGUCGAAGUCUGUAUAUAUAUCAGGACGACAGCGUGCCUAUUGAAGAAUGAACCGAAGAGUUACUGUUGCUAGCGAGGUUAAGUGGAAAACACGGAGCCGCAGCGAAAGCGAGUCUGAACAGGGCGUUCAGUUAGUAAUAGUAGACCCGAAACCGUAGUGAUCUAUCCAUGGCCAGGUUGAAGCACAGGUAAAAUUGUGUGGAGGACCGAACUCGUGAGCGUUGAAAAGCUUUGGGAUGAGUUGUGGAUAGGGGUGAAAUGCCAAUCGAACACGGAGAUAGCUGGUUCUCCCCGAAAUAGCUUUAGGGCUAGCCUCGAGGUUGAGAGUAUAGGCGGUAGAGCACUGAUCGGGCUAGGGGCCAUACCGGUUACCGAUCCUAGUCAAACUACGAAUGGCUAUACUUAUACUCGGGAGUCAGACAGUGAAUGAUAAGGUCCAUUGUCAAGAGGGA
rnacentral:rRNA from 1 species